rnacentral:snRNA from 1 species
GUGCUCACUUCAACAGCACAUAUACCAAAAUUGGAAUGAUACUGAAAGAUUACCAUGGCCGUUGCACAAAGAUGGCACAGAAAUUCUUGAAAUGUCCACAUUUUGU